GCUUUCUCUUUCUCACCUAGACAGAGAAAUGCGUCUGCAGAGGAUAAUACACAACAUGGCCAAAGGUUUGAACAGCCCAAGGAGAGAGCACCAUUUGUAUAUUCUGCUACAAGGUGUUAUGAACAAUCUGCUUUAUGUAACCGAGACCGAGCAGUUAAUGCAUCCCAGCACAGAUCCAGAAGUACAAGACAGAGCCUUGCUGUGGGCUUGUGGUGACACCUGUCCCAGUCACGUGGUCAUUUGGGCUGUUGCAUCAUUCCCUUGCAUGGCAUGAGUUGCAGAAGCUGAUGUAUCUUAACCAUCCCAGCUUGAGAGGAUCUUUUUUUUAACCAGGAUUUCAAUUGCAGUUUUUGCUUGGAAGAGCAUGCAGUACAAAACACUGGAUCCUGAUCGUCAGGAAGCAAUACAUAGACUUUUUCUCCCAAGAGACUGAGUUCUCUUCCAGAAAACCAUGUCAACAUGUAAUUGACAUCGAUAGCACAAGAAGUAUGAUUGACUGACAGGAUUUAAUGGAAGAGAGCUGGAUAAGACCACAUAAGCUCUCAAUAGCACCAUUUUAAUUUCUUUCCUGAAGAUGGAGGAUAAGAAGGAACACUUUCUGCCAUCACUUCCCAAAGAAGUCACACCACCUACUUCAGUGAGAACAGCAAAAUCUUGUGGGAAGAGGGAGGUGUCAACAGGCUAAGACUUUUUUGUAUCACCGUUUCAUGGCCCUGGGCUCAGUGGAUUGAAGAAUACCCAAAGCCACCUCUAUCCUGGGUAAGUUCUGGUUUGGGGAUCUCAGCAUUUUAAUUACUAUCAUCCAGCAGCUUCAAAUGAUCCCUGUUAACUUUGCAUCAAUGUAAAUGUUCAUUUACAUUGUGAAAAUCAGGAGCCCGAUAAGCACCAUACAAAUAGGUUGUGGUAGUGCUGCUUCCAGGACUCAGUGAUCCAUAUCCCAGUGAUAAGGACGUGCUGAAGCUCUUUUUGUUUCUGACGUUGUAUGUGAACAGAGAGUGAUUAUUUCCAGUGUAUCUUAGAAUUGCCGAAGGUAUUAUUUGGGAUUAUUGCAGUGCAAGUGCUCUUUGCUCAGGUUUGCUUAGGUUCUUGGAAAAUACUAAAUGUUGCCUUCCUAAUGCCUGAUUAUAUCCUGCUGUAAUAAAUGUUAAAACAAAUGAAAAGUAAAGAUUACAGUAUACCAUGGUUGAACUCCUGAGAUGUAUUGAAACAGCACUUCAGCUUACACUUCAAUUUCCCACAAAUAGCUUCCUAUCUUGGGUGCCACACGUUUAGAAAAAAAAUAAGUUCCAGUUAGAUUGGAGAUGCAAGACUACCAAUAUGCUGCUAAAUUACUUACUAUUAUCUAUUUUUAUAUUGCAAGCCCUCUUGGCAAUCCAUGUUCUUUACAAAUUAAGCUGCACGGAGGUAUAGUUCUCAAUAGCAAUCAAGUUUCAGCACAAAAUGCCUUAUUUGCAUUUUUAUGGCUUAAAACUACUGACAUGAAAUGAUUUACUGUUUGUAGGUCGGGGGGAAGGCUACUGAGAAGCUUAUUGUUUGAUUUGGACUUUUUCAGUCUUUAUUGGCAGUGUUUGCUUCAAAAUGUUAAAUGUACAGUAAUGGGCUAUGUAAUUUAAAAUCGGUCUCAGUCACUAAAGUGUGCUAACAUAUUAUCAUCUAGGAAUCUUUAUAAUACGCAGGAUUUUGUCCAACAAAUGGCAUGAUGCUUCUUAAAUUACACCAACUAUAUUUCAAAAUCACCAAAGAUAGGAGAGGCUGAGAAGCAGAGGUCGCUAGGGGGAACUCAAACUGAAUCUUAAUUUCUUGAUGUAUUGAUAAAAUGGGGAAGGCUGCCAUGGCUCAGAAACACCACUGAUAGAUGGAUAGAGAUACAGGCCUGAUUCUCAGCGGGUAUGAAAUGCUUUUAAUGAAGCUGUGCCAUUUGGCUUCAAUGGAUGCCAGCAGAGCUGGGCCAUUUUAUGUCCCAUAAAAUGUGUCUAUAGUCAGAAGCAAAGACAGGCUGAAUUCAAGAAUGAGAAGGUUGUGGCUUUCUGAAAUAAGAUUUUUUUGCUGCAUUAUGAGGUGCUCAUUUGUAAAAUGGUUAUGCUGCCUUGCCUGUAUUGGCCAAAACUGGACCCUAUCAUAGAGAGAACUGCUGUUCUGCUGAUGAGAGUUUGGCUCCCGAAAAACUUUCACAGUUUAUGGUAGCUUUUUUUUUUUUUUUUAAACCCUGAUUUCUAUUCCCGAGUUUCUAAGACAUAUCUGGUUGCAUUACACCUUGUCAAAAUAUGAUAUGUGGCAUAAGUGGCACGCAGCUGAAAAUAACGGGGAAAAAUUUACCAGAUGCAACACAUGCUACCCUACCACAGCUGCUGAUCUUCAACAUGAUAGUGCAAUGUGGGAAAGCUAAUAGAUGCCCACAGCCUGGCAGUUCUUGCCUUGCACAGCACCACAAUUAGCAAGUGAAUGACAUUCCUCAAGUCUAAAUCAACAUGGCACAUGCCAUACACUUCUUAAAAAAACAAGUCUUAUUUUUAUCUUAUCAGAGUCAGUUCAAUAGAAAAGACUUUUUACCUUUAGCACAAGUCUCAUUUUACAGGUAUUCUUUUGGCUCUUUCUUGUCCUUUCAUCCUAUACAUUUGUGUUCUUUAUGCCCUGAAGGAAAUAGAUGAGAAAGACCUGUAGGAUGUGCACUGUGUUGCACAACGUGAGGGAGCAGGUCUCAGGUGAUAAAAUCUCCAGGAUGAAUAACCUUUUUACAAUGAGUGAAGCAUAUAAAAAAGUCUAGAGCUGGUUCUGAAUGUCUGUUGGAAUUGCUUGCCUAAGUCCAAUAAAACCUUUUACCUGGG